UACGUAGGGUGCGAGCGUUGUCCGGAAUUACUGGGCGUAAAGAGCUCGUAGGUGGUUUGUCGCGUUGUUCGUGAAAUCUCACGGCUUAACUGUGAGCGUGCGGGCGAUACGGGCAGACUAGAGUACUGCAGGGGAGACUGGAAUUCCUGGUGUAGCGGUGAAAUGCGCAGAUAUCAGGAGGAACACCGGUGGCGAAGGCGGGUCUCUGGGCCGAUACUGACGCUGAGGAGCGAAAGCGUGGGGAGCGAACAGG
rnacentral:rRNA from 1 species